UCUGGAAAGGUUGGAAAGCAGAACAGUGUUUUUCCAUUUCCCAAGUUCAUCCAGUUUCAUUAAAGUAAUAUUCCCUGGCAACAAACUAUUCUAGUAUCUUGAGCUAUUUAUGAAAUGCUAAUCCAAUGGACCAGAAUGGAUGUGGCUUCAAUGGGCGAGCUACCAGCACAAGCUUGGAGAUCUUUUGCUUAUUCAAAUUGGUAUAAUGAGAUUUGACCAUAAUGAGACAGAUAUUCUCAAAGGCAAGAUGGAUAGUAGCGUCAAGUCAGAGGUGACACUGAUGACUUUGCCCAUAUGUCCUGCAUAUACACGAUGCCUCUUCUUCCAUGAAAAACACGGUGGAUAGAGGCUGAGGAGACAGUUUGAGAGGUAGAAUGUUUGCUGCACAAAGCAUAUGGACCUCUGUUUGGAUCUCCAGCACCGUAAAAUGACAGACAUGAAGUAUCCCUGUCUGCAAAAAGAAGCAAGAGGUCUCAUGCCCGGGGAUCUGAGGGACAUCUUGGAGUCACAUCUUGUAAUCAUAGCAUCCCAUUUAAAAUGCAAAAAUCAAACAGAACUUGGCAUUUGGAUCUACUUUAUAUGUUCUUGAUUUUGAAAUGUCCAGGCGUGGUGGUGGCCAGGUGUGCAAUCCUAAACUGGUGCGGCAGAAAUGGAUUGAUGGGUCCCUGGAGCUCACUGGCCAGCCAGUCCAGGCUAAUUGAAGAGCCUCAGGUGAAAGGCUGUUUCAGAAACCAAAGUGGAUGAAUCCUGAGGAACAACAUUCAAGGUUAACCUCUGGCCUCCGCUGCAGGCACACACAAGCACUUACACAUGCACAUGCGCUGACAUUAUACACACAUAUACACAUAUAUACACACACAUAUACACAACCUUCGUGCACACACGCCACACACACAUACAACAUGAUACUCCCUCAGUAAAAAAAAAAAAAAAAACU